UACGAAGGGGGCUACCGUUGCUCGGAAUUACUGGGCGUAAAGCGCGCGCAGGCGGCUUGGUAAGUUGGGGGUGAAAUCCCUGGGCUCAACCCAGGAAUGGCCUUCAAGACUGCUUGGCUGGAGGACGAGAGAGGUGAGUGGAAUUCCAGGUGUAGCGGUGAAAUGCGUAGAUAUCUGGAGGAACACCGGUGGCGAAGGCGGCAUCCUGGACCAUUACUGACACUGAAAAGCGAAAGCCAGGGGAGCAAACGGG
rnacentral:rRNA from 1 species